UCAGAUUGAACGCUGGCGGCAGGCCUAACACAUGCAAGUCGAGCGGUAGAGAGAAGCUUGCUUCUCUUGAGAGCGGCGGACGGGUGAGUAAUGCCUAGGAAUCUGCCUGGUAGUGGGGGAUAACGUUCGGAAACGGACGCUAAUACCGCAUACGUCCUACGGGAGAAAGCAGGGGACCUUCGGGCCUUGCGCUAUCAGAUGAGCCUAGAUCGGAUUAGCUAGUUGGUGAGGUAAUGGCUCACCAAGGCGACGAUCCGUAACUGGUCUGAGAGGAUGAUCAGUCACACUGGAACUGAGACACGGUCCAGACUCCUACGGGAGGCAGCAGUGGGGAAUAUUGGACAAUGGGCGAAAGCCUGAUCCAGCCAUGCCGCGUGUGUGAAGAAGGUCUUCGGAUUGUAAAGC
rnacentral:rRNA from 1 species